rnacentral:rRNA from 1 species
GGCGAACGCUGGCGGCGCGCUUAACACAUGCAAGUCGAACGGAAACACCUGCUUUCCCUUGUGGUUUGCGUGUACUCGAGUGGCGAACUGGUGAGUAACACGUGAGUUAUCUUCCCCCAACUUGUGUAUAAGCCUGGGAAACUGGGUCUCAUUCCCGAUAGGACUGCAGGGUGGUGCCUGUGUUGGAACACGAUUUUCUAGUGGUUGGGGAUGAGCUCGCGGCGGAUCAGCUUGUUGGCGGGGUAAUGGCCUACCAAUGCGACGAUGGGUAGCCGGACUGAGAGGGUGAGCAGCCACACUGGAACUGAGACACGGUCCAGACUCCGACGGGAGGCAGCAGUGGGGAAUAUUGGACAAUGGGCGCAAGCCUGAUCCAGCCAUACCGCGUGGGUGAAGAAGGCCUUCGGGUUGUAGAGCUCUUUUGUUGGGGAAGAAAAGCAGCAGAUUAAUACCCCGCUGUUCUGACGGUACCCAAAGAAUAAGCACCGGCUAACUUCGUG